GACGAACGCUGGCGGCGUGCUUAACACAUGCAAGUCGAGCGGAAAGGCCCUGCGGUGUACUCGAGCUGCGAAGGGGAGAGUAAGACGAGCAUAACCGUCCCCUGCCCUUGGGAUAAGCCUCGGAACAGGGGGCUAAUACCGGAUACGACACAGCGUCCCAUCGGCACGGUGUGGAAAGUAAAUCUGCGGCGGUUGGGGAUGGGCUCGCGGCUUAUCAGCUUGUUGGUGGGGUCGUGGCUUACCAAGGCGUGGACGGGUAGCCGGCCUGAGAGGGUGACCGGCCACAUUGGGACUGAGACACGGCCCAGACUCCUACGGGAGGCAGCAGUGGGGAAUAUUGCACAAUGGGCGGAAGCCUGAUGCAGCGACGCCGCGUGCGGGAUGACGGCCUUCGGGUUGUAAACCUCUUUCAGCAGGGACGAAGCGUAAGUGACGGUACCUGGAAAAGAAGCGCCGGCUAACUACGUG
rnacentral:rRNA from 1 species